CAAAGAAGGGGGAAUCAAAGAAAAAAAGGAGAGCUGCUGUAAUGCAUAGAUGACAGAUUAAUUUGUCAUCAAGUUAUUCUCUUUAAUCUGUUCCACAGACUGAAAAUCCCGAAAUGAGAAGAGCAGACAGAGAGAUAACAGAAACCUGCCAAUGGGUUGGACAGGGGCUGGACUGUGUGUUUGGGAGGCAGAUGUUAUCUAAGUCUGUCUUGAUGGAUCUAGCAUGAUAGAACUUACCUGUUGUCACAAAGGAGUAGCCACGUUCAGUCAGGAUCUUCAUGAGGUAAUCGGUGAGGUCUCUACCAGCCAGGUCCAGACGCAUGAUGGCAUGGGGCAGAGCAUAACCUUCAUAGAUGGGGACAUUGUGGGUGA